GUGGCUAUAGCUCAGUUGGUAGAGCCCCGGAUUGUGAUUCCGGUUGUCGUCGGUUCGAGCCCGAUUAGCCACC
rnacentral:tRNA from 1 species